UGUAUCCCACGGGACGCAGCAGUGGGGAAUAUUGCACAAUGGGGGAAACCCUGAUGCAGCGACGCCGCGUGAGUGAAGAAGUAUUUCGGUAUGUAAAGCUCUAUCAGCAGGGAAGAUAAUGACGGUACCUGACUAAGAAGCCCCGGCUAACUACGUGCCAGCAGCCGCGGUAAUACGUAGGGGGCAAGCGUUAUCCGGAAUUACUGGGUGUAAAGGGAGCGUAGACGGCGCGGC
rnacentral:rRNA from 1 species